rnacentral:rRNA from 1 species
UACGGAGGGUGCAAGCGUUAUCCGGAUUCACUGGGUUUAAAGGGUGCGUAGGUGGGUCUGUAAGUCCGUGGUGAAAUCUCUAGGCUUAACCUGUAAACUGCCAUGGAUACUAUAGGUCUUGAAUACUGUGGAGGUCAGCGGAAUAUGUCAUGUAGCGGUGAAAUGCUUAGAUAUGACAUAGAACACCAAUUGCGAAGGCAGCUGGCUACACAAAUAUUGACACUGAGGCACGAAAGCGUGGGGAUCAAACAGG